rnacentral:rRNA from 1 species
UACAGAGGUCCCAAGCAUUGUUCGGAUUCAUUGGGCGUAAAGGGUGCGUAGGCGGCGCGGUAAGUCGGGUGUGAAAUCUCGGGGCUUAACUCCGAAACUGCAUUCGAUACUGCCGUGCUUGAGGACUGGAGAGGAGACUGGAAUUUACGGUGUAGCGGUGAAAUGCGUAGAUAUCGUAAGGAAGACCAGUGGCGAAGGCGGGUCUCUGGACAGUUCCUGACGCUGAGGCACGAAGGCCAGGGGAGCAAACGGG